UUUAUGGAGAGUUUGAUCCUGGCUCAGGAUGAACGCUGGCGGCGUGCCUAAUACAUGCAAGUCGAGCGAACGGACGAGAAGCUUGCUUCUCUGAUGUUAGCGGCGGACGGGUGAGUAACACGUGGAUAACCUACCUAUAAGACUGGGAUAACUUCGGGAAACCGUAGCUAAUACCGGAUAAUAUUUUGAACCGCAUGGUUCAAAAGUGAAAGACGGUCUUGCUGUCACUUAUAGAUGGAUCCGCGCUGCAUUAGCUAGUUGGUAAGGUAACGGCUUACCAAGGCAACGAUGCAUAGCCGACCUGAGAGGGUGAUCGGCCACACUGGAACUGAGACACGGUCCAGACUCCUACGGGAGGCAGCAGUAGGGAAUCUUCCGCAAUGGGCGAAAGCCUGACGGAGCAACGCCGCGUGAGUGAUGAAGGUCUUCGGAUCGUAAAACUCUGUUAUUAGGGAAGAACAUAUGUGUAAGUAACUGUGCACAUCUUGACGGUACCUAAUCAGAAAGCCACGGCUAACUACGUGCCAGCAGCCGCGGUAAUACGUAGGUGGCAAGCGUUAUCCGGAAUUAUUGGGCGUAAAGCGCGCGUAGGCGGUUUUUUAAGUCUGAUGUGAAAGCCCACGGCUCAACCGUGGAGGGUCAUUGGAAACUGGAAAACUUGAGUGCAGAAGAGGAAAGUGGAAUUCCAUGUGUAGCGGUGAAAUGCGCAGAGAUAUGGAGGAACACCAGUGGCGAAGGCGACUUUCUGGUCUGUAACUGACGCUGAUGUGCGAAAGCGUGGGGAUCAAACAGGAUUAGAUACCCUGGUAGUCCACGCCGUAAACGAUGAG
rnacentral:rRNA from 1 species